AUAUUGGACAAUGGGGGCAACCCUGAUCCAGCGAUGCCGCGUGAGUGAAGAAGGCCUUCGGGUCGUAAAGCUCUUUAGGUUGGGAAGAAGCUUAUUAGAGGAUAAUUCUAGUAAGUUGACGGUACCGACAGAAUAAGCACCGUCAAACUCUGUGCCAGCAGCCGCGGUAAUACAGAGGGUGCGAGCGUUAAUCGGAGUUACUGGGCGUAAAGGGCGCGUAGGCGGUUGUAUGAGUGUGAUGUGAAAGCCCCGGGCUUAACCUGGGAAGUGCAUCGCAAACGAUACAACUGGAGUAGAUGAGAGGGUGGCGGAAUUUCCGGUGUAGCGGUGAAAUGCGUAGAGAUCGGAAGGAACGUCGAUGGCGAAGGCAGCCACCUGGCAUCAUACUGACGCUGAGGCGCGAAAGCGUGGGGAGCGAACAGG
rnacentral:rRNA from 1 species